rnacentral:lncRNA from 1 species
CUAUUUUGGAUAUGAUUAGGGUACAAUUAACUCUCACUAAUUAUAAUAUAGUAAAAGCAAAAAAUACACCAAAUCCCAAAAAACACUCUCGGCUCUCUCUCAUCCGCCUCCACCCUCACCUUCUCCUCCCUCACCUUCUCCACCCUAAUCUUUCUUCCUUUCCUCUCCUCCGCGGACUUCUCCGACCGCCGCCGAGCUCCAGCUCCCUAUUCUGACGCCUCUAUGGAUGCCCGGAUGGUUAAUUUUUUCGAAUCUGUGGAUGAUUUAUUUGUUGUUUGAGAUGUUUGUGGAUGGCUACGGGGGUGGAGGGAGAUGACAGUUCAGAUGAGGCGAAGGGAAGGCGCCGGCGCCGGCGGCCUCGCCGGUGUUGAGAGUGGCGGCGACCAGCGGCAGCCAUGAUUGAGG